AAAAGCAUAGCAUGGAGAGAGUCUUUGGAGUGUAAAAGGUAAAAGCAAGUAUUGUUGGUUUGGGAUUUUGUUUGGCUAGAGGACUUUAAAUUGUUCAGUGUUUAGGCCCUGGACUGUCUAAGAAGGAACUGUCAAUGCACUGUGAUUAUUGGAUGAAGAUUUCCCCCGAAAGAAUGUGUUGUCUCUCUACCUUCCCCACACCAAAAUAUUUGCCCAUCCAUUUCAACCAACAUAAUCAACACAGAUGCACACACAGGUGUAACAUAACUGCAGCCUAAGGAUCUGUUUCACACGGAAAUGUGUUUCCCAAAAAUGGGCAAAGAUUAUAACCUCUGGUGCCUAGUGAAAUGGAGCAAGAAGUCCAUCAAGUGUUGCUGCAUUCUGGCCUUGCUUUUUUAUCCCCCGGAAAAUGGGAAAAUGACUUUCUGCAACACGGUUAUGCUGACGUCCUGUGAAUUUUACAUGUGAUAGUGUGAGGCGGUGAGGUGGAAGAGCAACUUUACAGCUACUGCGGAGGCAGGAGGCAGGACAGAGGUCACCCCCCAGCCCCCGGGCACGCGCCCGAUCGAUUCGGAGGGACAGGCGACACACCAGGGUUGGGCAAGAGAGGAGGCGGCCCGUUGAUGAAUCAGGAGGGGGGGGGGGCACAAAAUAUUGGAGCAAAGCUUUGCAAUGAUAGCAUUGAAAGUGAGCAGCCGUACAGUGAGGUGACAUUUUCUGUGGAGGAAGGAUAACCUGGGACAUUUACAGGACUAUUAGCAUAUCAAACACACACAGACACACACACACACACACAUACGCAGACAGAAACACGCAGACGCACGGAGCGUGCUGCCCUCACGUACAAAGUGAUGAGAAAUGUAGAAACAUCAGAAUUGCAGCGCAUUAAAAUUCAGCAUUACAACUGCAGGCCCUGCAUCCGGUGAGUCAUGUGUGAGCACAGUCAGGGUAUGUUUAU